GUCUAUGGCCAUGCCACCCUGAACAAGCCUGAUGUCUGAUCUCAGAAGCUAAGCAGCGUCGGGCCUGGUUAGUACUUGGAUGGGAGACUACUACCUAGGAAGACCAGGUGCUGUAGGUA
rnacentral:rRNA from 1 species